rnacentral:rRNA from 1 species
CCUACGGGAGGCAGCAGUAAGGAAUAUUGGACAAUGGAGGGAACUCUGAUCCAGCCAUUCCGCGUGCAGGAUGACUGCCCUAUGGGUUGUAAACUGCUUUUAGAUAGGAAGAAAAUGGUUAAUGCGUUAGCCACUGACGGUACUAUCAGAAUAAGGACCGGCUAACUCUGUGCCAGCAGCCGCGGUAAUACGGAGGAUGCAAGCGUUAUCCGGAUUCAUUGGGUUUAAAGGGUGCGCAGGCGGAUUGGUAAGUCAGUGGUGAAAUUCAACGGCUCAACUGUUGAUCUGCCAUUGAUACUGUCAGUCUAGAGUAUAGUUGGAGUGGGCGGAAUGUGUCAUGUAGCGGUGAAAUGCUUAGAUAUGACACAGAACACCGAUCGCGAAGGCAGCUCACUAAACUAAAACUGACGCUCAUGCACGAAAGCGUGGGGAUCAAACAGGAUUAGAUACCCUGGUAGUCCACGCCGUAAACGAUGAUUACUCGAUGUUGGCGAUACACAGUCAGCGUCUGAACGAAAGUAUUAAGUAAUCCACCUGGGGAGUACGUUCGCAAGGAUGAAACUCAAAGGAAUUGACGG